GGUGCAUAGCCCGGUGCGGUACAUACCAGCUCCUCGUAUCGGCCUGGCUAGAGUGGGCAUCGAGCCAGGUAAGGUUGGGCAGGCUCGGUGCUCAAGAGCUCCAGUGCGCCUGCACGGUCCGGUCUAUCCAGUACCACCUCCACGCACCAGCCCUCCGGUGGCAGCUCGCCGCACCAGGCUUCCUGUGCGUGUCCUCUGCCCAGUACCACCAGUGCCAGCACCACACAUCAGGCCUACAGUGAGCCUCGCCUGUCCAGCGCUGCCGGAGCCUUCCUCCUUUACAGUGCUGCCGGAGCCUCCCGCCUGUUCUGCGCUACCGGAGUCUCCCGCCUGUUUAGCGCUGCCAGAGCCUUCCUCCUCUACAGCGCUGUCGGAGUCUCCUGCCUGUACAGCGCUGCCGGAGCCUUCCUCCUCUACAGCGCUGCCGGAGUCUCCCGCCUGUCCAGCGCUGCCAGAGCCGCCAGUCUGCAUGGAGCAGCCAGAGCCGCCAGUCUGCAUGGAGCAGCCAGAGCCGCCAGUCUGCAUGGAGCAGCCAGAGCCGCCAGUCUGCAUGGAGCAGCCAGAGCCGCCAGUCUGCAUGGAGCAGCCAGAGCCGCCAGUCUGCCAGGAUCCGCCAGUCAGCCAGGAUCCUCCAGAUCCGCCAGUCAGCCAGGAUCCGCCAGUCAGCCAGGAUCUGCCGGAACCGCCAGUCAGCCAGGAUCUGCCAGAACCACCAGCCAGCCAGGAUCUGCCAGAGCCAUCUACCUGCCUGAGCUUCCCCUCAGUCCCGAGCUUCCCCUCAGUCCCGAGCUUCCCCUCAGUCCCGAGCUUCCCCUCAGUCCCGAGCUUCCCCUCAGUCCCGAGCUUCCCCUCAGUCCCGAGCUUCCCCUCAGUCCCGAGCUUCCCCUCAGUCCCGAGCUUCCCCUCAGUCCCGAGCUUCCCCUCAGUCCCGAGCUGUCCCUCAGUCCGGAGCUGCCCCUCAGUCCAGUGGGGCCCUUGAUUAGGGUUACUAAGCCAAGGUCGGCGGCGAGGGUUGUCAAUCUAAGGACGCAAUGCAUGCGGACUAAGACUUUGUUGGAGUGGGGUCCACGUCCCGCACCGGAGCCGCCACCGUGGACAGACACCCACCCGGACGCUCCCCUAUGGGUUUAGGAGUGCGGCCGGGAGUCCGCGCCUUAUCUGUUUGCACCAGAUAAGGCUGUUUAGGUUUUCACGUUACGUUUCUUGUUUUGUUAGUUUGUUCAUGUGUAGUUUAUUUUAUU
rnacentral:lncRNA from 1 species